AGAGUUUGAUCCUGGCUCAGGAUGAACGCUAGCGGCAGGCCUAAUACAUGCAAGUCGAACGAGAUUAAGGGGCUUGCUCCUUAUGAAAGUGGCGCACGGGUGCGUAACGCGUAUGCAACCUACCUCAAUCAGGGGGAUAGCCCGAAGAAAUUCGGAUUAACACCGCAUAAAAACACAGUACAGCAUUGUACAAUGUUCAAAUAUUUAUAGGAUUGAGAUGGGCAUGCGUGUCAUUAGCUAGUUGGCGGGGUAACGGCCCACCAAGGCGACGAUGACUAGGGGAUCUGAGAGGAUGACCCCCCACACUGGUACUGAGACACGGACCAGACUCCUACGGGAGGCAGCAGUAAGGAAUAUUGGUCAAUGGAGGCAACUCUGAACCAGCCAUGCCGCGUGCAGGAAGACAGCCCUCUGGGUCGUAAACUGCUUUUAUUCGGGAAUAAACCUUAUUACGUGUAAUAAGCUGAAUGUACCGAAGGAAUAAGGAUCGGCUAACUCCGUGCCAGCAGCCGCGGUAAUACGGAGGAUCCAAGCGUUAUCCGGAUUUAUUGGGUUUAAAGGGUGCGUAGGCGGCUUAUUAAGUCAGGGGUGAAAGACGGUGGCUCAACCAUCGCAGUGCCUUUGAUACUGAUGAGCUUGAAUGAACUAGAGGUAGGCGGAAUGUGACAAGUAGCGGUGAAAUGCAUAGAUAUGUCACAGAACACCGAUU
rnacentral:rRNA from 1 species